GUAGCCCAUGAAAUUGUAUCGAAGCCAAGAGUUGUGAUGAGCAAUAAAGGAGGGAAGAGGAGUCUGGUAAUGCGGUUCUGGAUUCAAACGCGGUUUGGGAUGGAAGGAAAGUGAGCAGGAAAGCUGCUGCUGCUGGUGUUUGUGCUUUCAUACAGCGAAAUCCCUGAAAGUGUUCUUCAAACACCCAGAUGCUAUCACAGAAGUUCUGUGUAGGAGAAGAGAACCAAAUAUAGCUCAUCCUCUCAAAAGAAGUCAGAAGAAAUCCCAAGGACUGAAAAACAAACACUUGGAUUUUGCACUGUGA
rnacentral:lncRNA from 1 species